UACGUAGGGGGCAAGCGUUGUCCGGAAUCAUUGGGCGUAAAGCGCGUGUAGGCGGCUCGAUAAGUCUGCUGUGAAAGUCCAGGGCUCAACCCUGGGAUGCCGGUGGAUACUGUCGAGCUCGAGUCCGGAAGAGGAGUGUGGAAUUCCUGGUGUAGCGGUGGAAUGCGCAGAUAUCAGGAGGAACACCGAUGGCGAAGGCAGAUCUCUGGGCCAGUACUGACGCUGAGGAGCGAAAGCAUGGGGAGCGAACAGG
rnacentral:rRNA from 1 species